AGAUUGAACGCUAGCGGCAUGCCUAACACAUGCAAGUCGAACGGUAACAGGCCCUUCGGGGUGCUGACGAGUGGCGGACGGGUGAGUAAUGCGUAGGAAUCUACCCACGAGUGGGGGAGUAGCCCGGAGAAAUCCGGAUUAAUACCGCAUAUGCCCUACGGGGUAAAGGACGGGGGAGUCGUAAGACCUCGCGCUGGUGGAUGAGCCUACGUCCGAUUAGUUAGUUGGUGGGGUAAAGGCCGUACCAAGGCGACGAUCGGUAGCUGGUCUGAGAGGAUGAUCAGCCACACUGGGACGUGAGACAACGGCCCAGACUCCUACCGGGAGGCAGC
rnacentral:rRNA from 1 species